UACAUUUUGGUGUAUGAUGCACGAGAAUUUUUGAUAUUCUCAGGGGUAGUUUAAUUCUGCUGGGUGUAA
rnacentral:tRNA from 1 species